rnacentral:rRNA from 1 species
UACGUAGGUGGCAAGCGUUGUCCGGAUUUACUGGGCGUAAAGGAUGCGUAGGCGGAUUUUUAAGUCAGAUGUGAAAACCCCGAGCUCAACUUGGGGACUGCAUUUGAAACUGGAAGUCUAGAGUGCGGGAGAGGAAAGUGGAAUUCCUAGUGUAGCGGUGAAAUGCGUAGAGAUUAGGAAGAACACCAGUGGCGAAGGCGACUUUCUGGACCGUAACUGACGCUGAGGCAUGAAAGCGUGGGUAGCAAACAGG